AUGCUCACUUCAGCAGCACAUAUACUAAAAUUGGAACAAUACAGAGAAGAUUUGCAUGGCCCCUGCGCAAGGAUGACAUGCAAAUUUGUAAAGCUUUCCAUAUUAAA
rnacentral:snRNA from 1 species